rnacentral:rRNA from 1 species
GGUAGGAUAGAGGCCUACCAUGGUUUUAACGGGCAACGGGGAAUUAGGGUUCGAUUCCGGAGAGGGAGCCUGAGAAACGGCUACCACAUCCAAGGAAGGCAGCAGGCGCGCAAAUUACCCAAUCCUGACACAGGGAGGUAGUGACAAUAAAUAACAAUACAGGGCCCUUUGGGUCUUGUAAUUGGAAUGAGUACAAUUUAAAUCCCUUAACGAGGAACAAUUGGAGGGCAAGUCUGGUGCCAGCAGCCGCGGUAAUUCCAGCUCCAAUAGCGUAUAUUAAAGUUGUUGCAGUUAAAAAGCUCGUAGUUGAAUUUCGGGAUCAAGGAAUCGGUCAUGCCUUGGUAUGUACUGGUUUUAUUGGUUCUCACCUUCUAAAGAACCAUAAUGUCAUUCAUUUGAUGUUAUGGGGAAUUAGGACUGUUACCUUGAAAAAAUUAGAGUGUUUAAAGCAGGCUUACGCUUGAAUACAUUAGCAUGGAAUAAUGAAAUAGGACAUCAGAUUCUAUUUUGUUGGUUUCUAGGAUCGAUGUAAUGAUUAAUAGGGAUAGUUGGGGGCAUUAGUAUUCAAUUGUCAGAGGUGAAAUUCUUGGAUUUAUUGAAGACUAACUACUGCGAAAGCAUUUGCCAAGGAUGUUUUCAUUAAUCAAGAACGAAAGUUAGGGGAUCGAAGACGAUCAGAUACCGUCGUAGUCUUAACCAUAAACUAUGCCGACUAGGGAUCGGAUGAUGUUAAUUUUAUAAUGACUCAUUCGGCACCGUACGGGAAACCAAAGUGUUUGGGUUC